UUCUGAUAUGUAUAUUGUAUUCACCCUCUGUACUAUGUACAGAUAUACAGGGGCCAAGUAUCCAUUUAUCUGGAUUAUUGUAAAUAUACAUCCUCUUUGUAUAUUCCAAAUUCUAUUCCAUUUUCUUAUUUUUCCUCUGUGCUCUUGCACUGUAAAUUUCCCCAUGUGGGACAAUAAAGGACCUGAAUCUGAAUAAGGGGCACACAUGGGCAACCAACAUUCCACAAAAGGUGAAUUUGAAAUCCCCGCAUCAUGUAAACACAUGGAAGACAAAUACCCAGAUUCAUGUUUACACCACCAACUGUGGAUGACUAAGUUUGAUUGAGAACUAAAUGACAGACUGUACGAGCGCAUGCGAACUACUUUUAACAGACGAGCUGACUACAGCGCCAUUACGGCCACGAGACAAGACUGACAAGUUUUGAAGACUAUAGUAUGAGAAUGAAAAAUGUGUUCCGGAAAAAUAGUGGAAUUACAUAUGCGGAAGAACCAGAAGGUCCCUACCAACAGCAGUUAAAGCAAGCUAUUACAUGGGGGAUCAAAAUCAGAUGAAAACCUGGGUAGAGACACAGUUGAUUUUGGAACCUGUACCCUAAACCGCUAUGAACAUGCUGAAAGACAAUGCCAAAAGAGUAAGAACGAAUUCCCAGGCAUGUUUUCAAUGCCAACCCUGUCCCUGUAGUCAAGGUUUCUAAAAGCCUGUGUAAGCAUGGUCAGGCAGGUCAAGAGAUCAUCCGAUUGGUGUCCGAUCAAUGAUUAUCCAGACUAAGUGCCUAAUCAAUUUUGAUCAACCCCUGUACGAUUGUAAAAGUUUUCUAUUAUGCUUACUGGGCAGAAAAAUGUUAAAGGCCUAAAAAUGUUGAUGAGACAGGGGGUUUCAGAGGCGUGGUACAAGGACAAGAGGUUGUCCAUGUAAGCAAGAGAUUACCCAUUUUAAAAUAUGGAAAAGCACUUUUAGCCUCUGAUAAGAAUGAAAAAAUUGCAUAAUGAGAAGGAGGAGCCCGGGGAGGAGUAAACCCAGGCUCCAAACUGUAUAAAAGCUGG
rnacentral:lncRNA from 1 species